AGCAGCCGCGGUAAUUCCAGCUCCAAUAGCGUAUAUUAAAGUUGUUGCAGUUAAAAAGCUCGUAGUUGAAUUUCGGGAUCAAUACGUCGGUCGUGCUUCGGUACGUACUGGCGUCAUUGAUUUCUCCCUUCUGACGAACCAUGAUGUCAUUAACUUGGUGUCAUGGGAAAUCAGGACUGUUACUUUGAAAAAAUUAGAGUGUUUAAAGCAGGCUCACGCUUGAAUACAUUAGCAUGGAAUAAUGAAAUAGGACGUUCGAUCCUAUUUUGUUGGUUUUAGGAUCAACGUAAUGAUUAAUAGGGAUAGUUGGGGCAUUAGUAUUCAAUUGUCAGAGGUGAAAUUCUUGGAUUUAUUGAAGACUAACUACUGCGAAAGCAUUUGCCAAGGAUGUUUUCAUUAAUCAAGAGCGAAAGUUAGGGGAUCGAAGACGAUCAGAUACCGUCGUAGUCUUAACCAUAAACUAUGCCGACUAGGGAUCGGAUGAUGUUAAUUUUUUAAUGACUCAUUCGGCGCCUUACGG
rnacentral:rRNA from 1 species